rnacentral:rRNA from 1 species
UACGUAGGGGGCUAGCGUUGUCCGGAUUUAUUGGGCGUAAAGAGUGUGUAGGCGGCCUGACAGGUCUGCUGUGAAAACUCGAGGCUCAACCUCGAGAUGUCGGCGGAAACCGUCUGGCUAGAGUCCGGAAGAGGAGAGUGGAAUUCCUGGUGUAGCGGUGAAAUGCGCAGAUAUCAGGAAGAACACCUAUGGCGAAGGCAGCUCUCUGGGACGGUACUGACGCUGAGACGCGAAAGCGUGGGGAGCGAACAGG